rnacentral:rRNA from 1 species
UACGAAGGGGGCUAGCGUUGUCCGGAAUCAUUGGGCGUAAAGCGCGCGUAGGCGGUCCGGUAAGUCCGCUGUGAAAGUCGGGGGCUCAACCCUCGGAUGCCGGUGGAUACUGUCGGGCUUGAGUGCGGAAGAGGCGAGUGGAAUUCCUGGUGUAGCGGUGAAAUGCGCAGAUAUCAGGAGGAACACCAAUUGCGAAGGCAGC